UACAGAGGUCUCAACCGUUGUUCGGAUUCAUUGGGCGUAAAGGUGCGUAGGCGGUCGCGCAAGUCGGAUGUGAAAUCUUGGGGCUCAACCCUGAAACUGCAUUCGAUACUGCGUGGCUUGAGUACUGGAGAGGAGACUGGAAUUUACGGUGUAGCAGUGAAAUGCGUAGAUAUCGUAAGGAAGGCCAGUGGCGAAGGCGAGUCUCUGGACAGUUACUGGCGCUGAGGCACGAAGGCCAGGGGAGCAAACGGG
rnacentral:rRNA from 1 species